rnacentral:lncRNA from 1 species
ACAGCUCAAUCACUCACCUUCCCAGCAUGGUCCACAACUAUCGCAUCGUCACAGGUACGCCACCACCUCUUCACCUUAGCCAUUUCCCUCUUUGUUGACUCGAGCUUGAGCAUCCAUGUUUGUGAUGGCCGUGGUCCUACCUCACAUUGUAGAGUGUUAAGAGUAUGUCUCAAGUUUGAGUUCAAAGCAAAAAUCUAAUUUUUUAAAAUAAAGAAAUGAAAGGAGGAAAAGGGGGAAUUAAUGGAAAUUUACUUUCCUAAUCUGCAGGGGUUGGUGGCCAAGAAAAGAAAUAAAAAUGGAAAAUAAGAAAAGAGUAAAGUUCAACUAGGACUGUCGACCGAACUACACAAUUUCCUAUUCAUGUUGAGUCGGCCACUGUACGCCCUUUACUCGAGUUUAUGUUUAUAUAUAUAUGAUUUUUUUUUUGAACAAAUGUAUAUAUAUAUAUAUGAUUGGCUUGUGGGAUUUCGCCUGCGGCUGUUGAUGUGCGGAGGGAACCUUACCAUGGGGCUCCAAGUUCCGAUAUACAUCCAAGUGAAAUUCCGCUCGUGUUUAAUAGCCUAUUAAAUCUUAUAGUAAGAUUUUUAUGAUUAUUUCUUUAAAAAAUUGUUAUGAUUAAAUACUGUGUGAGUUAUUCAGUACAAUUGGGAGUCGGGAAAAGUCGAGAUUAUUUAACUAUUUUUCCCGACUCGAGUAUAAUUGUAAUCUUUAUUAUAUCACUUGAUCUAUGAUGAAAUUUAUUGUUAUUCUUCACAUGACCGUAAAUCACUCAAGCAAACUGGCUCAUUUAUUUUCUUAUUUUAUUUAUUUUAUUGUUCCAUAAUUUAUUUCCAUGUCACAGAGCUUAGCACUAGAUAUGGUGGCCAUGGUCCCAAGGAGAGAGAGAGAGAGAGAGAUUAAGACGUUUGGGUGCGUUGGAUGGGUAGUGUAAUCUUUUUAAUUGUCGUCUUUGUCCGAAAACGUAGAUUACAGGUUAAAAACACAAGGAGUAUCUAAUAUGGUAUCAAGUUGAGAAAGGUUGAUGAAAUUUUUAAAAAUUAAUGUUUUUGAAGGGCACCGUAAUGUGAGCCUAUAGAAUCGAUCCAAUUAAAGUGAAAACCUCAUUUGGUCCAAUAGAAUUGCCUGGGAAAUAGUAUGUGAAUAACAUGUGAUCAUUCUUCAUUUCUUAUGCAUGGACAGAUACCCUUUAAGCUAAUCAUAACCUAUUUGAUCAUUCUUCAUUUCUUAUGCAUACCCCGAUUACAUCGAUAACGCUCAAUUCACCAAGAAUCCACCCCUUUGGAGCGAAAGAACAGGGAGCUCCCUCUAGGGUGAUUCCCUCAAGAUCUAUAGAUCAAAAUUAAACUAAUGGUGAAAAACCGAUUCAUGAAUCCAUCUUUCAGCUAAAAGCUCAAUUUAGCCGACUCAGUGAUGCCAUUGUAAGUAAAUCCUCUAAAGAGAAAAAAAGGUGGAAUGGGUCUUGAAGAGAAUGACCCAACUACCUAUGGAUAAAUAUACAGUUUACUUGCCGAAACAAUUCUCAGUUCAACUGGCUUGAGCAUCAAUAGAGACAACAUUAUGCACAGAUGCAAUUGAAGAAGCCGUUUCCAGCAUUUUUCUUCUUUCAGCUAAGUUGACACAACAUCUCGCCAUUCUCUUCGAAGCAUCUACUCUAAAUUAAGUUUUUGUGCUGAGAAAACAAAACUCGUAUCAUCAGAAGGGGCUUGGGAAACUCGCACCGAAAGUCAAAGUGUGAAUCAUGGCAAUAUCCUCUUAACAAUCACAUGACAACAGCAUAGGAAUGUAAUUCAGCAUAAGAAUGAACACAGCUCCUGGUCUUCCCUAGCAUAGAAAGUUAGCUGUGCAUGAUGAUGUAUGGCCAUAUAACAACAUGCAACUGGAUCCCUCAAGAUAAGACUCAUAAUUUAGUCUUCCAAUAAAAUCUCAUUUCAACGGCAAUCUGCAACAGCCGCAACAAAAAGGACUCGCCGAAGGAGCAGCAAUCAAAAGAAUACCCUAAAUAACACAGUAUCACAAAUUCGUUCUUAUUCAUAUCUUUGAACGGUAUUCAUUACCAGGUAUACCAGAGAAAACCACAGAAUGGAAGAGCAGUUGUUGUCAUUCUUCAUAUAUCAAGAAGUAACCUUCGAGGGUCCUCCACGACAUCUUUGAUACGGCGCAAGAAAAAGACAGCCUCUCUCCCAUCAAUCAGUCUAUGGUCAUAAGU